rnacentral:rRNA from 1 species
GAUGAACGCUAGCGGCAGGCUUAACACAUGCAAGUCGAGGGGCAGCGGGAUGUAGCAAUACAUUGCCGGCGACCGGCGCAAGGGUGCGUAACGCGUGAGCAACAUGCCCGUUACAGGAGGAUAAACCAUGGAAACGUGGCCUAAUACUCCAUAGUAUAUCAGAGAGGCAUCUUUUUGAUAUUAAAGUUUCGGCGGUAACGGAUUGGCUCGCGUGACAUUAGCUAGAUGGAGAGGUAACGGCUCACCAUGGCGACGAUGUCUAGGGGAACUGAGAGGUUAAUCCCCCACACUGGUACUGAGACACGGACCAGACUCCUACGGGAGGCAGCAGUGAGGAAUAUUGGACAAUGGAUGGAAAUCUGAUCCAGCCAUGCCGCGUGCAGGAUGACGGCCCUAUGGGGUCUUAAACUGCUUUUGUAUGGGAGCAAUAAGUUCUACGUGUAGAGUGAUGAGAGUACCAUACGAAUAAGCA